rnacentral:rRNA from 1 species
UACGUAGGGCGCAAGCGUUGUCCGGAAUUAUUGGGCGUAAAGAGCUCGUAGGCGGCCUGUCGCGUCUGCUGUGAAAUCCCGGGGCUUAACCCCGGGCGUGCAGUGGAUACGGGCAGACUAGAGUUCGGCAGGGGAGACUGGAAUUCCUGGUGUAGCGGUGAAAUGCGCAGAUAUCAGGAGGAACACCGGUGGCGAAGGCGGGUCUCUGGGCCGAUACUGACGCUGAGGAGCGAAAGCGUGGGGAGCGAACAGG